GUAGGCUUUGGAAACUGUUUAACUUGAGUGCAGAAGGGGAGAGUGGAAUUCCAUGUGUAGCGGUGAAAUGCGUAGAUAUAUGGAGGAACACCGGUGGCGAAAGCGGCUCUCUGGUCUGUAACUGACGCUGAGGCUCGAAAGCGUGGGGAGCGAACAGGAUUAGAUACCCUGGUAGUCCACGCCGUAAACGAUGAGUGCUAGGUGUUAGGUCCUUUCCGGGACUUAGUGCCGCAGCUAACGCAUUAAGCACUCCGCCUGGGGAGUACGACCGCAAGGUUGAAACUCAAAGGAAUUGACGGGGGCCCGCACAAGCGGUGGAGCAUGUGGUUUAAUUCGAAGCAACGCGAAGAACCUUACCAGGUCUUGACAUCCCGAUGCCCGCUCUAGAGAUAGAGCUUUACUUCGGUACAUCGGUGACAGGUGGUGCAUGGUUGUCGUCAGCUCGUGUCGUGAGAUGUUGGGUUAAGUCCCGCAACGAGCGCAACCCUUAUUGUUAGUUGCCAUCAUUCAGUUGGGCACUCUAGCGAGACUGCCGGUAAUAAACCGGAGGAAGGUGGGGAUGACGUCAAAUCAUCAUGCCCCUUAUGACCUGGGCUACACACGUGCUACAAUGGCUGGUACAACGAGUCGCAAGCCGGUGACGGCAAGCUAAUCUCUGAAAGCCAGUCUCAGUUCGGAUUGUAGGCUGCAACUCGCCUACAUGAAGUCGGAAUCGCUAGUAAUCGCGGAUCAGCACGCCGCGGUGAAUACGUUCCCGGGCCUUGUACACACCGCCCGUCACACCACGAGAGUUUGUAACACCCGAAGUCGGUGAGGU
rnacentral:rRNA from 1 species